rnacentral:rRNA from 1 species
GGUUGAUCCUGCCAGUAGUCAUAUGCUUGUCUCAAAGAUUAAGCCAUGCAUGUCUAAGUAUAAACAAUCUAUACAGUGAAACUGCGAAUGGCUCAUUAAAUCAGUUAUAGUUUAUUUGAUAGUACCUCACUACAUGGAUAACCGUAGUAAUUCUAGAGCUAAUACAUGCGAAAAGACCCGACUUCUGGAAGGGUUGUAUUUAUUAGAUAAAAAACCAAUGCGGAGCAAUCCGGUUUUUGGUGAAUCAUAAUAACUUAACGGAUCGCAUGGCCUUGUGCCGGCGACAGUUCAUUCAAAUUUCUGCCCUAUCAACUUUCGAUGGUACGGUAUUGGCCUACCAUGGUUACAACGGGUAACGGGGAAUUAGGGUUCGAUUCCGGAGAGGGAGCCUGAGAGAUGGCUACCACAUCCAAGGAAGGCAGCAGGCGCGCAAAUUACCCAAUCCUGACACAGGGAGGUAGUGACAAUAAAUAGCGAUACAGGGCUCUCUGAGCCUUGUAAUUGAAAUGAGUACAAUUUAAAUCUCUUAACGAGUAUCAAUUGGAGGGCAAGUCUGGUGCCAGCAGCCGCGGUAAUUCCAGCUCCAAUAGCGUAUAUUAAAGUUGUUGCAGUUAAAAAGCUCGUAGUUGGAUUUCUGGGCCUUGGUGGUGGUUCGCCGCAAGGUGUAUACUGCCACUGGAGCCCAUCCUCUCGAAGACGGGGCGUGCUCUUUACCGAGUGCGUCUUGGACUCGAGACUUUUACUUUGAAAAAAUUAGAGUGUUCAAAGCAGGCUUACGCUUGAAUACUUCAGCAUGGAAUAAUGGAAUAGGACUUUGGUCUUAUUUUGUUGGUUUCUAGGACCGAAGUAAUGAUUAAUAGGGACAGUUGGGGGCAUUAGUAUUUAAUUGUCAGAGGUGAAAUUCUUGGAUUUAUGAAAGACUAACUUCUGCGAAAGCAUUUGCCAAGGAUGUUUUCAUUAAUCAAGAACGAAAGUUAGGGGAUCGAAGACGAUCAGAUACCGUCGUAGUCUUAACCAUAAACUAUGCCGACUAGGGAUCGGUGGGUGUUAUUAAUGACCCCAUCGGCACCUUAUGAGAAAUCAGAGUUUUUGGGUUCUGGGGGGAGUAUGGUCGCAAGGCUGAAACUUAAAGGAAUUGACGGAAGGGCACCACCAGGAGUGGAGCCUGCGGCUUAAUUUGACCCAACACGGGGAAACUCACCAGGUCCAGACAUAGUAAGGAUUGACAGAUUGAGAGCUCUUUCUUGAUUCUAUGGGUGGUGGUGCAUGGCCGUC